UCAGGGACUGGAAGAGACCUUGAUUGAUCAUCUAGUCCAAUCCCCCUGCUAGAGCAGGAACACCUACAUUGGGUCACACAGGAACAUGUCCAGUGAGUGGGAAAGAUAUAUCUAGUUGUUUGAAGUCAAGACCAUAACAAAGAAUGCAAUGUGAAAUCCUACAGAAGUGAUUUGCACCACAUUUUGUGUUUGAGAGCCACGGUCUGAGGAGAAGCGGUGAGAAAUCAGAGCAAAGCGCUGACCUGGAUGGAGGGAAAAGAGCUGUCAAGUGAUUAGAGAGAGAGAGAGAUAAAAAAAGGAAGAAACAUUUGGACAAAACAUGAAAAUCUGCAACAUAUUUAAGCCCUGGAACGUGGAGAUUUCAUAGGUAACAUGGGUGAAAUGAUUUACUUACAUGUUUUACAAAGAACAUAGUGUAAUAAGAGACAAGGGCUUAGUACUGCGGCCUGGGCAACAUUUUAUACACUCAUAGCAUGAUACAGAGGUCUCAGGUCCUGAGUUCCAAAGGUUAAUUCCAAUAAGACAAUUUUACUUGUUAUGAAGCAAUUUAAG
ensembl:lncRNA